CAAACGGCCCUUUUCAGGGCCACCAAACACACUCAUCAAGGAGUUG
rfam:Aedes aegypti strain Liverpool supercont1.98 genomic scaffold, whole genome shotgun sequence.